UACAUACCAGAGAUGCGAGAUAGUGUUUACGACGUGAUGUAGUGCAAGAAGUAGUUUGAGUGAGUUCAAGUGCAAUAGUUCAGCUAUAAAGAACACAUGUCAAGAAAGAUGUGAGACCCGGGCGGAGAAUCCGAACGCAACCAAGGAAGACAUGUGCGGCUUUUAUUGCAUUUCUGUUAUUUUAUUCACGGUGAGGAUGAUACCGCAAAACUCGUGCACGGAUGUAUGCAGAAUGGUGGAAUUUAUAUAAAAGUUGGGCAAGGCUUAGCAGCAGUCAAUCACAUUUUACCAAAGGAAUAUAUCGAGACCUUGUCGGCAUUACACGCGCGUUUCCGAAUACACCGAUUGGAUUAAAAGUAACAUAAAGUAACUAUGAAAUCGUACAGCAACAUUAUAUAAUGCAGCGCUCGUAUCCUAAAAAACAAGACACGCACAUAAAUCUAUAAAAAAAAUAUAAAAAAUAUAAAGUUAAAAUAUAAAAAUAAUAGAUUUCCUGCAAGAGAUCGAUGAAUUGAACGAAUUUCGAGAUUAUGAAUUUAAGAUGUUCUCGAUUCCAUUUUCUAAUUGGUCUGCUUCUUGUGACUUUAUCAUGAAAAAUUUGUAUUGUGUCAGAGUCGAUGACACUGGGAUAUUCUACUGUGUUACGUGCCAGGACAUUGAUAUACAUAUAUAGAUUUGUAACACGUAUGUGCCUCACGUUAUCUAUCUUUUAUACCAUAUGUUAUCUUCAAUUCUGAAAAAUGUUAAAUAUAAUAAUAUUUACGACACAUGUUCGAGAACAUAAUAAACAUUCAGGAUUUUGAACGACACCAAGAUGUAAUAUAUACGCUCUUUUACAGUUUUCUUACAAUCGUCUUUUAUUGUGUCGAUAAAUGUACAGUCGUACUCCUUCAACGUGUACAUAAAGUACAGAAACAUCUAACAACUAUCCAUGUUUUUGCGGCAACGUAUUAGCGUGAUCAUGUGUAUAUUCAAAUGAAUAACUUGUCAAUAAAUUAUUAUCAUACUAUAUAUUUAUGUACCGUAUGUAAUUAGAAUUUUUUAAUAUAGAAUGUAACAAUAUCUAAUAAUAUACACACAUCAUUAAAUGUACAUACGGUGUAAAUUAUCUGACAAAUUUAUCUCUUCAAUUUAUAGUUAAUAGAAAUAAA